rnacentral:lncRNA from 1 species
CACAAUGGCACACCUUCGCGACCACAUCACUGUAGGAAAACAAAAGAGCAAGCCCACGCUGGUCGACAUCGUUAACGUUUAUUACUUAUUCGGGCAGAUUUUAUUUUUCUUUAGUUAUUAUAUAGGGCGUAAAAGUUUCACCUGUUUAUCAACUGAUUAAUGUCUUAAUGGCGAUUGAGGUAUUACCAGAUAUUAGUGAAAAACGCUUGCCUAAAAUGUGACAUUCUCUGAUAUUAGAACCAAGUGAGCCGUAUUCUAACAGCUGGACUUCCAGUGCUGUCUGUCAUUGCUGAAUGCACAUAAAAAUGUAACAGCGAAACUUGUACAACUGCUGCAAUUGCAGAGCGACACGAAAUGCACAAAUGAGUAGCACAUGGGGCAUCGAAUAACAAAGUGAGCAGCUUUGAAAAUAAUCCAUCUUUGGCAAAGCUGAAAUGUCAAUGCAAUUUUUUUUUCUUUUUCGGUAAUAUGCCUGUUCAUCAAUAAAGCUAGUUAAAACAGUAAUUACUUAAAGGAGGGUAUUAUUCAGGUUAAAAUGAUUAAACGUACAGCCCUGUUAGUAUUUCUAGUGGCAUGCACUUACCCAGGGAAUUUAUUUUAUGGGGAGGGGACGAGGGAGGGUUAAGCCAUAAUGCUAAUUUAACUGUGAGCCAAAUACUGUGGCACCUGUACCCAAGGGGAGACGUGGAGUGCUGCUCCUAAGUGAAUUUAUAAUGCCAAAACACAAACUACUUGCUCUAACCCAUGUAUGAUUGCCAUUAUUUGUUGCAUACUGAUGUUCCAUAUCUCAUUUCAUGCAAUAGGAGAAGCAUGCCGACUGGUCAGCAGCUACCUUCCAGCGAAAAAAGGUGAAGCUACAAGGGACAAAGAAGAAGGGGUGUACUGCAGCGAUGCAUGUGAAACAAGUGGACUUGUAUCCGGAAUUCAGGAUCAACAUCCCACAACCAUGUACCAAAUGGCAGCAUGAAGCAGCUUCAAAGGAAACAAUCUCUCGACUGAGGUUGGCAUUGCAAGAAGCAGCUAGUGGUAAACCUGUUCUGCACCAGCAUCGCUUCUAUGUCUGUAUGUCCGACAGGGAAAGCCACUCUAAUCAUGACAUUGAUUCUCGCUUUGCAGGCUACGCACAGCCGAUAAAUUCAGAAGUGUCCAAAAAAAUUUGUGAGCUGGUACAACAAGGUGUGACAUC